rnacentral:rRNA from 1 species
AAACAUUGUCUUAUGAAUAGAAUAUUAGAUAAUACCUGCCCAGUGACAUUGUUCAACGGCCGCGGUAUCCUAACCGUGCAAAGGUAGCAUAAUCACUUGCCUAUUAAUUGUAGGCUAGAAUGAACGGGUUAACGAAAUAAAAGCUGUCUCAAUUAAUUAACUAAAAAUUAUUUUCUACUCGAAGAAAAGUGGAUAAACUCGAAGGACAAGAAGACCCUAUAGAGCUUAAUUUAAACUAUAGAAUCACACUAUAGAAAUAUUCGGUUGGGGCGACCCAGGGCUAAUAAAUCACCCAUUUAAAUUAAGAUAGAUUAAUCCAGUAAAUGACCCUUAAAUGAUCAUAAGAACAAGCUACCUUAGGGAUAACAGGCUAAUCCCACUUAAGAGUCCUUAUCAACAGUGGGGAUUGGCACCUCGAUGUUGGCUUAGGGUAUCUCUAUAGCGCAAAAAGUUAUAUAAAGAUGGUUUGUUCAACCAAUAAUCCCCUACGUGAUCU